rnacentral:lncRNA from 1 species
GAGUCGUACAGGUCACUAUAGGUGACUCCGACUUAUGUGCUAGCAUUGAUUGAUGAGAUAUGGAUGAGUCAUACAGGUCACUAUAGGUGACUCCGACUUAUGUUCUAGCAUUGAUUGAUGAGAUAUGGAUGAGUCGUACAGGUCACUAUAGGACUCCUACUUAUGUACUAGCAUUGAUUUAUUGAGCACAUGAUUAUUUAUAUUGCUCAUGAGAUGCUGUGCCGUGGUAUAUUUAUGGAUUUACCUGUUGAUAUACUUUUGAUUUUACAUCGACACGUGGUAUGAUUUUCUUUUAAACUGUACAGGUAUUACAGCGAGGGGUUAUAACAACUUAGAAGGUUUUUAUUAAAAUUUUAUUUCUAGGGCCACUCACCCUUGCUUUGUUAACAUCCUCUAGGUUUUUUAGCUGAGCUAUCUUAUCGACAAGGAUUCGGGGCAAAUUUUGGUAUUCGAGAUUAUCUUCAAUGGUAUGAUUCUCAAUCCACUCUACUGUACUUUACUUAUGCUCUGAUAUUACGUGUGAAAUGGGUUCAUUUUCUCUCACAACGCACUCUCGUAUUUAGACACUUUUAGAUUUAAAUUUAUUCACAUUUUUUCCACAUCACCAUACUUUAUGGCUUCGUCACCCUCUUGGUGUCGGCCAACACAACUCGAUUUGGAGUCCAAGUGGACUUUUCGAGUUGGGGUGUGUUGUUGGAAAUGUCCCCUAAAACCAAUCAUAUGAUGAUACUUUAUGGACAUUUCACAUGUUAAACUAAUCUAAUUUAAUAUCAAGGGCAAAGAUUAUUGUUUUAAGCCGUCUCAUAUAAAUGUUAUA